UACGUAGGGUGCAAGCGUUGUCCGGAAUUAUUGGGCGUAAAGAGCUCGUAGGCGGCUUGGCAAGUCAGGUGUGAAAACUUCAGGCUCAACCUGGAGAUGCCACCUGAGACUGCUAUGGCUAGAGUCUGGUAGGGGAGCACGGAAUUCCUGGUGUAGCGGUGAAAUGCGCAGAUAUCAGGAGGAAUACCUAUGGCGAAAGCAGGUAUCUGGGCCAUCACUGACGCUGAGCUGCGAAAGCUAGGGGAGCAAACAGG
rnacentral:rRNA from 1 species